GGCAUCCAGGAACUACUUAAGAUACAGGGGUUCUGUUUGUGAGGCUGAGGCUGUCGGGCCUGGGCACAGUGUGGCCUGGGCCUUGGGGCAUGGCGGGGAGAAGGCCUGGUCCUGGGGUGGAUAAGUGGCCUGGAGCAGGGGUCUGGGUGUGGAAGCCAGGACCUGAAGGCCCAGCUGUAACGGAGGUUACAAAGCUGUGUUAUGGAAGGCCCCAGGAGUUGGGUAGGUUUCCUGGUUGAGAAGCUUGGAGGGGCCUGUUUGCAAAACAUCUGGAGGAUGUGUGUCGCUGUCCAGUCAAGCUGGAAAGCAUCCCACGUGGCUCAUGGGUCGGGGCGUAGCAGCACUGACCACAGGGGAGACACAGGGACACCCAGACUCUGUCCUUGCGGUGACAAGAGAAUUGUCUUCAGGAAAAGAACAGUUGAAGAUGAGAUUGCUGACCUGCUACUGGUCUCAUUCUUCCACAUGGACCAAGGAGCAGAGGAAGCCAGUCUGCAAUAUGGAGAAGAAUGAAGCAGAUGCAGUCAUGGCUUCUGAGAGCAAGGCUGGGAGUGGCUGCCUGGAUCCCGGAAGGCUGUCACUUUCUGCAUCUCUAUGGGGCAGGCGCCAUGUUUGUUCUGCUCACCAAGGAAUCCUCAGAGGUUGGCGCACAGCAGAUGCUCAAGAAAUAUCUGUUGUGGGUGCUCCUAGUUGUGGCAUGUGGGACACCACCUCAACGUGGACUGACGAGUGGUGCCAUGUCCACACCCAGGAUCUGAACCAGCGAAACCCUACGCCAUCGAAGUGGAGCGUGUGAACUUAACUACUCGGCCACGGGGCUGGCUCCUCAAUCAACAAAUUUAAUGCCACUCUAGUCAAUAUCCUGAUGGGAUAAAAAGCAGAAGGAGGAAGAAGAGAAGGAGAAAGAGAAGAAUGAGAAGAGUAAUAAGAUCAGAGUGGUAUUUCAGGAAGACAUGCUUUUCUUAAACCAGAGGCCAACAAAAGUGACCCGUGGAAUCUGAGGAUGGUGGGACAGUCUGGGGCCGGGAGGGAAAAGAAACCAAAUGAAUGUCGCUCUUGAUCGAGGUAGAGAUGGGGUAUGGCACACAGAGUGUGGAGUUGAAGGCUGUGCAUCCCUCCUAGCUCUUCCACUCUUCCUGGGUGACCCGGAGCAAGCCAUCUAACCUCUCAGCAUCUCAGACUCCUCAUCUUCAACAAAGGGGAAGUGGGGCUAGAUUAUCUCUGGAACCCUGGAGGCCCACAAUAUCCAACAAUUCAGUUAAUUGAAAUGUAUUGUAAAAGCGCAGAUGGGUAUGAAUUUGGGGUGACUUUUGGGUGGUGGUGGCUAGCAGUAGGAAGCAGCGGUACCAGGUGAGACAACUCAGACCAUGCACAGCUCUAAUAUGGGGAAAUGAAGUAAUGGCACUAGCCCGCAUGUAUCAAGUACUUGUGUCAUUUACUCUACUAAACAGUUUACAUACAUUAUCUCAUUUAAUUCUCACAACAGCCCUGUGAGGUAGGCUCCAAUAUAUCACACAAUUAUGAGGAAACUGAGGCACAGAGAGGGUAAGUAAUCUACCCAAGAAACAUUGCCAGUAAAUAGGAAAGCCAGAAUCAACCCCAGAUCUAUUUCAAUUUCAAACCCUUAACCACUGUACGACAAGCAAGGGUGUAUAGAAUAACUAUUAAAGUCUUGUAUUUUAUCUUUCAAUUAAAAUUCAGAAACAUUCAUUGAAUAUCUAUCCGACACAGGAACCAGCUUGAAGAGGGUCCCAAUGGCUAAAUCUGGGACAAAUUCAGCACCCAAAUGAAGUACAGUGAUGAAUUAUAAACCACUGAAAAAAACAGGAUUCAUGAGUCCCCUUACCGAUAAUAGAUAGAUAAAUAAAUAAGCAGAAUACCAAGGGUUGGCUGGUAAACGUGGAGGGACUGCUGGAGCUGGAAAAUCAUCAUUUGGUUAUCAGCAGAGUAGAAAGGGUUCAGGCAGGAACCAUCAACGGAUGCUAAAUCUAAGGGGGAAAUGUUAACGAGCAAGAUAUUUGUAUGGUCUCAACGUAUCUUUCCAGAGACUGCUUAUUAAUUCAAGGGAGAAAAAAAAAUUGUACAGUGGAGAAAUUGAGCAACACCUUGAUGGAGGAGAAAAAUUUACAUUACCAGUAAGGUCAUUGUAUGCCUCCAGCUGUGAUACCCUUAGAAGGACAAAAUGUUAAUUUCGCAAUAUCCCAGCCAAGAAUGCAUAAACAAAACAUCAAACAAAUGCAAUCUGGGAAUGUUCUAUUUAAAAAAAAAAAAAGGCAACGGGAACUGUCUUAAAAAAUGUCGACAUCAUAAAAGACAAAAAAAAGGCUGUGGAAAUAAUUCCAGAUUAAAGGAGGCUACAGGGUAACACAACUAAAUGCAAGCCAGACCCUAGACUGGAUGUUGUGCAGGAGGCGGGAGUGUGGACAAUGCUACAAAAUACAUUACUAGAACAACCAACAAAAUUGGAAUAGAAACACUACCAAUGUAUAUUUAUAAAGUUGAUAAAUGUACUGUGGUUAUGUUGAGAAUAUUCCUAGGUUCAGGAAAUUCACACAGUAUUUAGGGGUGAAGGGUGCUGAUGCAUGUCGCUUACUCUUAUAUGGUUCAAAAGAGAGGGGACAGAGAGCGUGCUAAUGCUACAGCAAAUGGGGUAAAACGUGAACCACAGGUGAAUCUAGGGAAAGGGUAUAUGAGGCUUCUUUGCAACCUUUCCUAAGUUUGAAAAUAUGUCCAGGGGCUGGCCCCAUGGCUGAAUGGUUAAGUUCACGUGCUCUGCUUGGGCGGCCCAGGGUUUCGCCAGUUCGAAUCCUGAGUGUGGACACGGCACCGCUCAUCAGGCCAUGCUGGGGCAGCAUCCCACAUACCACAACUGGAAGGACCCACAACUAAAAAUACACACCUAUGUACCGGGGGGCUUUGGGGAGAUAAAAGGAAAAAUAAAAUCUUUAAAAAAAAAGAGAAUAUGUCUAAAUAAGGAGACCUUUUUUUUUAAAGUCAAUCUGAUAUCAUAUUAGCAAGUGGUGGUCAGUCUCUGAGUUUUUGAACUGUACGGAAGGAAAAGGAAUGACCUGUGUUGAGCCAUGAGAAUAACUGCCAUCAAACAGGAGAAACCUAAGGUUGAGGUGAUUCCCUGCAGUUGAGGGCUUCCCCCACCAACCCGAGG
rnacentral:lncRNA from 1 species